rnacentral:rRNA from 1 species
CACGUAGGGGGGCGAGCGUUGUCCGGAAUCAUUGGGCGUAAAGAGCUCGUAGGCGGCUCGGUAAGUCGGGUGUGAAACCCCCAGGCUCAACCUGGGGACGCCACCCGAUACUGCUGUGGCUAGAGUCCAGUAGGGGAGUGUGGAAUUCCCGGUGUAGCGGUGAAAUGUGCAGAUAUCGGGAGGAACACCAGCGGCGAAGGCGGCACUCUGGGCUGGAACUGACGCUGAGGAGCGAAAGCGUGGGGAGCAAACGGGG